rnacentral:rRNA from 1 species
UACGAAGGGGGCUAGCGUUGCUCGGAAUCACUGGGCGUAAAGCGCACGUAGGCGGAUUGUUAAGUCAGGGGUGAAAUCCUGGAGCUCAACUCCAGAACUGCCUUUGAUACUGGCGAUCUUGAGUCCGGGAGAGGUGAGUGGAACUCCGAGUGUAGAGGUGAAAUUCGUAGAUAUUCGGAAGAACACCAGUGGCGAAGGCGGCUCACUGGCCCGGUACUGACGCUGAGGUGCGAAAGCGUGGGGAGCAAACAGG